UACGAAGGGGGCUAGCGUUGUUCGGAAUUACUGGGCGUAAAGCGUAUGCAGGCGGAUCGUUAAGUCGGGGGUGAAAUCCCGAGGCUCAACCUCGGAACUGCCUUCGAUACUGGCGAUCUUGAGUCCGGGGAGAGGUGAGUGGAACUCCGAGUGUAGAGGUGAAAUUCGUAGAUAUUCGGGAAGAACACCGGUGGCGAAGGCGGAUCUCUGGGCCUUACCUGACGCUGAGGCGGCGGAAAGCUAGGGGAGCAAACAGG
rnacentral:rRNA from 1 species